CCAGUAAUCGUUCUUAAAUCUUUUAAUUUUUAACAAAUUUUUCAUUUUUUAUGUGUCUUCGCUUGGAAUGAUUGAAAAAUAUUUUUGAAAGAUAAGAGCAAUAAUCCGUAAAAUUAAACUCCGAAUACAUCCGAGUGUGACGUGUGUCUCCGCUGCCAACAAACCAAACAAAAUGGCGUGUUUUGGUUGCUUAAAAGUGUUGGAAAAUUCGAAGCUCCUAAUUUUUUGCAAUUAUCAGCUGAAACGGCUAAGCAGCACCUCCAGCAUAUCAUAUAGCGGAAAUGGUCCGGAAGUUAAAUUUGCCGGUCGAGACCAUUCGGACAGAAUCAAAAAUGGGAAAUACCGGUGUUGGACAUCAUAAUUAUUCGUUUAACUAGAAUAAAUAUGACAAGAAGAAAGUCGUCAAUCUUUCCCACGGGGUACUUUCGGAUCGGAUCGCAUUAAAAGGAAUCUCCGGUGACCCAAAGGAUUCUUCCGGACUUAUCUUUAAAUUGGCAGUAAAAAAGGUUGCUGGUGUUGCAGAAUCAGCAGAACGGGUUGGAAAAGGUUUUCUCAUUCUAUUUGUUAUUUACUACUGAAAAUUUUUCAUCUCAAUCUCAAAUCUCAAAAAACCUGAAUCUAACACCGUAUGGGAAGGCAUUAUCUCCUAUGGCACCAUUUAUAUUUCCGGUUGUACGUUGCAGUGGAAUUUAUCUGAUACAGUUGUUGGAUCAGCGAGAUGGUUCGGAAAAAAAACCUGUCUGUCAUAGAAGACUCGAAUUUAGCCCUGAAUCGCAUAUAUAUAAGAAAUAUACAGAGAAGCAUCGGUCGUUCUCCAAUGAAACCUUCGUUUCAAAACGCAUAUAGUGAAAACGAUGAAUCCGGAUUAAAAAAAAUGUGUACUUCAACUGAAUCUGUCGAUGGAAAAAGUUCGGUCUCCGGGGCGGCUGGUAUUGGAACUAGUGGGAAAUCAAUGGCGGAAACAGCUGAUUUUAACACAGCCCAGGUGGUGCUACCACCAAAUCAUCAAUCAGAAGCGUCCCCACGCAUCACUAUCCACUUGUCAGCGAAAGAGACAAUCACCACGACAGAAGCUUUCAUUCCUAUCAUAAAUAACCAAAAAAAGUAAACCAGCUAGCAGCAGCAGCGACCAGUUCUGCAGCUCCGCAAUAAGUCAGGUUGAGCUUUUCCUCGUCGAAGAGGGCCUAUUUGAUAUAACUAUUUGCAUUACGACACCUAUAAGAAUAUUUGCGAGCAGAGGAGCACAGCAAACAGUGACUAUCCGGCUAUCAGCAAGGAAAUAGGAUUGUUUUUCUAGGGGAUGUACAGCGAGCAUCAUUUGGGAAUGUUCGCUGAGAAGAAUGUUUCCCAAGCUCACGGAUCAAGAUUUCUGCGAGUUGGGAUUCCAGUUACCAUUCGAACGGAAAAAGAUUCUUCGUGGUUUGCUCAAGUUUCAUCGGCAGGCGUGGAACAAACGCAACAUGAAACAAUUUCGAAAGCACAAACUUAACUCUUAUACAAUCUGAUGGAACUAAUCGCCAAUCAUUUGGAUCAAGGACCACAAAGCAGUCUCCAUUCGUGUUCAACUCCAAUAUAUAUUUCUAAGCUAAAUUUACGAAAGUUCUGUUUUGGAAAGC